AGCCCUGAGGUGUAUACACAUAUUAGAUUGCAAAUCUUAAGUAGCGGACUAGCGUCAGCCGGGGCUU
rnacentral:tRNA from 1 species